rnacentral:rRNA from 1 species
UACAGAGGGGGCAAGCGUUAUUCGGAAUUAUUGGCGUAAAGGGCGCGUAGGCGGUCUGGCAAGUGAAAGGUGAAAUCCCCUCGGCUCAACUGAGGAACUGCCUUUCAUACUGCUUGACUUGAGUCCGGGAGAGGUGGAGUGGAAUUCCCAGUGUAGCGGUGAAAUGCGUAGAUAUUGGGAGGAACACCAGUGGCGAAGGCGGACUCACUGGACCGGAACUGACGCUGAGGCGCGAAAGCGAUGGGGAGCAAACAGGGGAUUAA